CCUUUAGAUGUUCUGGGCCGCACGCGCGCUACACUGAUGCAUUCAACGAGUCUAAAACCUGCUCUGAUAGGGGUGGGUAAUCUUUUGAAUGUGCAUCGUGAUUGGGAUAGAUGAUUGCAAUUUUUCAUCUUCAACGAGGAAUGCCUAGUAAACGCAAGUCAUCAGCUUGCAUUGAUUACGUCCCUGCCCUUUGUACACACCGCCCGUCGCUCCUACCGAUUGAAUGAUCCGAUGAAUAUCAUGGAUUGAGGAUUAUAGCAGGUUCGCCUGUCUUGAUCUUCGAGAAGUGAAGUAAAUCUUAUCAUUUAGAGGAAGGAGAAGUCGUAACA
rnacentral:rRNA from 1 species